UCAGAAAAAAAGGACUUAAACCUUUAUCUCCAGCUCCCAAAGCUGANAUUUUUAUCUUAAACUAUUCUCUG
rnacentral:tRNA from 1 species